ensembl:snRNA U4 U4 spliceosomal RNA
AGCUUUGUGCAGUGACAGUAUUGUAGCCAAUGAGGUUUAUCCAAGGUGCAAUUAUUGCUAAUUGAAAACUUUUCCCGGUACCCUGCCGUGAUAACUUGAAAUAUAAAAGAUUGU